AAACCAACAGGGAUUGCCCUAGUAACGGCGAGUGAAGCGGCAAAAGCUCAAAUUUGAAAUCCGUCUUUUGAUGGAGUUGUAAUUUGAAGAUAACAAUUCUUGAAGCAGCCCUGCUCAAGUUUCCUGGAACGGAACAUCAUGGAGGGUGAGAAUCCCGUGAUGCGGGGGCUCUGCUUCUCUACAGAGUGUUAUCGACGAGUCGAGUUGUUUGGGAAUGCAGCUCUAAGUGGGUGGUAAAUUCCAUCUAAGGCUAAAUAUUGGCGAGAGACCGAUAGCGAACAAGUACUGUGAAGGAAAGAUGAAAAGCACUUUGAAAAGAGAGUGAAAUAGAACGUGAAAUUGUUGAAGUGGAAGGGUUUGAAGUUAGACUUGGUAGUUUACGCUCCACGAUCCUUCGGGGUCGUGUACUCGUUUUCUGCCGGGCCAGCAUCAGUUUUGAUAGAAGUACAAAGACAUUGGAACGUGCCUUCUUAUGUUGGUUUAUAGACUUUGUUAAUGCUUCUCAUCGGGACUGAGGACCGCGCUUUUUGCUAGGAUGCUGGCGUAAUGAUUUCAAACCAC
rnacentral:rRNA from 1 species